rnacentral:rRNA from 1 species
UACGGGGGGGGCAAGCGUUGUUCGGAAUUACUGGGCGUAAAGGGCUCGUAGGUGGCCAACUAAGUCAGACGUGAAAUCCCCAGGCUCAACUUGGGAACUGCGUCUGAUACUGGCAGGCUUGAAUCCGGGAGAGGGAUGCGGAAUUCCGGGUGUAGUGGUGAAAUGCGUAGAUAUCUGGAGGAACACCGGUGGCGAAGGCGACAUCCUGGACCGGUAUUGACGCUGAGGCGCGAAAGCCAGGGGAGCAAACGGGG